rnacentral:rRNA from 1 species
GACGAACGCUGGCGGCGUGCCUAAUACAUGCAAGUCGAACGCAGUGGGGACGGGUGAGUAACACGUGGGUAACCUCCCAUCAGAGGGGAUAACACUUGGAAACAGGUGCUAAACCGAUACUGAUGGAUGAACCCGCGGGGGAUUAGCUAGUUGGGGGGGUAAAGGCUCACCAAGGCCACGAUGCAUAGCUGACCUGAGAGGAUGAUCGGCCACACUGGGACUGAGACACGGCCCAGACUCCUACGGGAGGCAGCAGUAGGGAAUAUUGGGCAAUGGACGAAAGUCUGACCGAGCAACGCCGCGUGAGUGAAGAAGGUUUUCGGGUCGUAAAGCACUGUUGGUGGAGAAGCGGUACCUAACGAGGAAGCAACGGCUAACUACGUGCCAGCAGCCGCGGUAAUUC